UACGGGGGGGGGCAAGCGUUGUUCGGAAUUACUGGGCGUAAAGGGCGCGUAGGCGGUUGGCUAAGUCAGCUGUGAAAACCACGGGCUUAACUCGUGGCCUGCAGUUGAGACUGUCUGGCUUGAGUGUGGGAGAGGAGAGUGGAAUUCCUGGUGUAGCGGUGAAAUGCGUAGAUAUCAGGAGGAACACCGGUGGCGAAGGCGGCUCUCUGGACCACAACUGACGCUGAGGCGCGAAAGCUAGGGGAGCAAACAGG
rnacentral:rRNA from 1 species